rnacentral:lncRNA from 1 species
GCAGAAGGGAAUCAAGUUAGGGUCUCUCCGGCCCUCAUUCUCCCUGCAGCUGCCUGUUUCCUGUGCAUCCUCCUGAGCUGCUCUAGGGAGCCUGAGCAAUGGUGGCUUGUGCACACCUAACUUCGGCAUAUUUUCUCCCCUUGCUCUCCUGCUGUCUCACGGGGAGGUCUCACUGGACCCAAGUCUCUCUGGUUUCAGAAUGAGAGUUCUGUUUUGUGGAUGAACCAUGAUUGAUGUCAGUUGUUUUGAGAUUUGAUACCAUUACAAAGUGGGUCUUGAGGCCUGUGAACAGAUCCCUAUGGGAGGACUUUUUAGCUAUUUUACAGCUGAGCCAACCUGGCUGAGCUACCCCACUGCAUACCGCUGCCCUACACAAGCCAGGCUCUCAGAGACGAUCCCACAGACCAGCCGGAAGGGCCUGG